GUGGGGAAUUUUGGACAAUGGGCGCAAGCCUGAUCCAGCAAUGCCGCGUGCAGGAAGAAGGCCUCCGGGUUGUAAACUGCUUUUGUACGGAACGAAACGGUCCGGGUUAAUACCCUGGGCUAAUGACGGUACCGUAAGAAUAAGCACCGGCUAACUACGUGCCAGCAGCCGCGGUAAUACGUAGGGUGCAAGCGUUAAUCGGAAUUACUGGGCGUAAAGCGUGCGCAGGCGGUUUUGUAAGACAGGCGUGAAAUCCCCGGGCUCAACCUGGGAAUUGCGCUUGUGACUGCAAGGCUGGAGUGCGGCAGAGGGGGAUGGAAUUCCGCGUGUAGCAGUGAAAUGCGUAGAUAUGCGGAGGAACACCGAUGGCGAAGGCAAUCCCCUGGGCCUGCACUGACGCUCAUGCACGAAAGCGUGGGGAGCAAACAGGAUUAGAUACCCGGGUAGUCC
rnacentral:rRNA from 1 species